CUUAACUUUCCAAAGUCACUUCACCCUAAAUCAUUUUCCAAAGUCAUUUUCCCUCUCUUCGUUUCGCCUCUUUCUCUAACCCUAAUUAAGCUCACUUCACCAAGACAGCCCCUUCUCUAUUGCCUCUUCCAGACUCGAGCAACUGCAGCCCCUGUCGAGCCUCCACGUUGUCGGACCUAUGGAGCCGCAAUCGCUGACGUCGUUGCCCUCAUGGCCAGCCAAGGCCAACGUCGGCGACGCUGUUUCGACUUCGCUCUUUCCUUCUCGGUAGUCUCUUCUUCUUGACACCAACAACACCAAUCCAACCCCUGAAACAUGCGUUCACCUUCUAGCCACCACCAAUGACACCGGCACCCGCCGGAGGCCUCACCGGCGACGCCAUCGCCCUUCGCUCCGCCACGCGUGAAGCACUACUACUCUAGCGUUAACAAUGUCUCCUCCUCUAUUUCUCCAGCACGUUCGAGACAGCGCGACUUGCCACCACCGCACCAGCCACAGCGACUGGGUUCGUAAUCGUCGCGCAACUACACCCCUCCAUUCGAACUCCGACCGCUAAAGCUUCGACUCGUCGGAACUAAGUUUCUUAUUCAAGUAAACGUCGAUUUACUGUUGUUUUCACUUUUCUUUACAAUUUGUAAUUUUUUCUGGUUUUAGUUUUUUAGCUUCGUUAAUUAAUGUUGUAAGGUUCGUAUUUGAUUGGUAGUUGGGAGAAGGGAAAUGGUAAAUAGCUUGAAACUGGUCAUGUGUUGAUAAAUAAGGAACCGUCAUUUAUGAAGUCGUUGUGUGCUUGCAUGUUAUGGUACGAAACUAUCUAAUAAUGAGUAAUUUAUUAUAUCUAAUAAAAUUUAGAGAGAUAAAACUUUUGAUAUUGAGGAGGACAUUAUAUGAUCAAUUAUUUAGACAAAGACAUUUUAUUUCUGGAUAUAUGAAUUUGAUAUAGAGACAAAUGUAUUUAAUUUGGUAUGGUAUGUCAAAUGACUCUUGAACAUGCACUUCUUGUACAAUGAACACUCAAAUUUAUAAUAAUAAUAAUAAUAAUAAUAAUAAUAAUAAUAAUUUGAUUUACAUUCAGGUAAUUUGUUUGAAUUUAUUAUUAUUAUUAUUAUUAUUAUUAUUGCCAUCAUGGAGAAAUAAUUUGAUUUACAUUCAGGUAAUUUGUUUGAAUUUGGUGUAGUUUGGUUUAAACAAAAGACAAACGUGUGUGUUAAUAGAAAUUUUACAAAGGUCCCUUGUUGCUAUACUUUGGGCAUGAGUUCAUGUAUUAUUAUUAGAAACCUAUGGUGAAAAGAAUUGAUUUAAGUUCGGAUAUUUUUAUAUUUAGAUACGUCGUGUUUACAAAAUUUAUUAUCUCUGAUCUUGAGGUGUUCAAUUAUUUAUUGUUGUUAUAGAGAGUUGUGCUAGAACCUGCAAUGCAGGGACGUGAUAUGAUUGGUCGAGCUAGGACAGGAAUUGGGAAAACUCUUGCAUUUGGGAUACCCAUCUUAGACAGGAUUAUUCAGCUAAAUGCUAAGCAUGGGUACUUUAUAUUAGUUAUACGUACAUUUUACUUGUUUUUCUGUUGGAAGUAGGAUUCGGUAAUAGUCCUAUCUAACAACAAAUGAGGCAGUUUAAUUAUGGUGUAGAUAUUGUAGUAGGCACCCCUGGUAGAAUUAUUGAUCUUCUCAAUAGGAGGGCACUGAAUUUGAAGGAUGUGAAGUUUGUUGUUCUUGAUGAAGCUGAUCAGAUGCUUCAAGUCGGAUUUCAAUAAGUUAUGGAGAACAUCUUGCAAAAUUUGUCUCCAAAUCGUCAGACUCUUAUGUUCUCAACAACUAUGCCAUCUUGGAUAAAGAGUAUCACCUGCAAUUACCUAAACAAUUCCCUUACCAUUGACCUCGCACCAGAUAUUGAAAGUGGUGUGCCAUCUCCGCAUGUGGUGGAAGCAAAACACCUUAGACUUAGGACUUUUAAUGUCUUUUUUCUUAGAUGCUUGAAUAUUUUGGUACUCUUAAUGUUGUUUUCUUUUUUUUUCAAAUGCUUGAAUUGGUACUUUGGUGUAGUUAUGUUAUAUUGACAACGAA